GAGUCUUAAUUGGGCGUUAAGUUGCAGGGUAUAGACCCGAAACCCGGUGAUCUAGCCAUGGGCAGGUUGAAGGUUGGGUAACACUAACUGGAGGACCGAACCGACUAAUGUUGAAAAAUUAGCGGAUGACCUGUGGCUGGGGGUGAAAGGCCAAUCAAACCGGGAGAUAGCUGGUUCUCCCCGAAAGCUAUUUAGGUAGCGCCUCGUGAAUUCAUCUCCGGGGGUAGAGCACUGUUUCGGCUAGGGGGCCAUCCCGGCUUACCAACCCGAUGCAAACUGCGAAUACCGGAGAAUGUUAUCACGGGAGACACACGGCGGGUGCUAACGUCCGUCGUGAAGAGGGAAACAACCCAGACCGCCAGCUAAGGUCCCAAAGUCAUGGUUAAGUGGGAAACGAUGUGGGAAGGCCCAGACAGCCAGGAUGUUGGCUUAGAAGCAGCCAUCAUUUAAAGAAAGCGUAAUAGCUCACUGGUCGAGUCGGCCUGCGCGGAAGAUGUAACGGGGCUAAACCAUGCACCGAAGCUGCGGCAGCGAACGUAUCACUUAAAACGCUUAACAUGCAGGCGCAGCCUGCAUGUUCAAGCCACAUAAACGUCGAGUGGGCCUGAGGGCUGGCAGACGACAGGCGUUUUAAGGAUACGUUCGUUGGGUAGGGGAGCGUUCUGUAAGCCGUUGAAGGUGG
rnacentral:rRNA from 1 species